AUCAGUAAGCGGAGGAAAAGAAACUAACUAGGAUUCCCUUAGUAGCGGCGAGCGAACAGGGAUGAGCCCAGCACCGAACCUCUCGCCCGGUCGACGGUGUGUUGAGGAAUGUGGUGUUCGGGAGGAUCGUGCGCGCCUGUCCGGUAUCUAUCGUCCAAGUCUUCAUGAACGAGGCGAGCAACCCACAGAGGGUGUUAGGCCCGUAGCUUAGACGAGCCGAGACCGUGCAUCGGAUCUCUUCUCCCAAGAGUCGGGUUGCUUGAGAGUGCAGCCCUAAGCGGGAGGUAAACUCCUUCUAAGGCUAAAUAUCGCCACGAGACCGAUAGAGAACAAGUACCGCGAGGGAAAGUUGAAAAGAACUUUGAAGAGAGAGUUCAAUAGUGCGUGAAACCGUUCAGGGGGUUAAACGGGUGAGCCCUCGAAGGUCGAACGAGCCCCCGCUCCCGGCACUCGGUUGCAUGCCUUCGUCGACGCGUUUGCCGUGUAGCUUGUCUCUCGGUUUUCGCUCGGCGUCGACCGCAAUAGCCGCGCCGAGGUCCGCUAGUGGGGGGCCAAGUAGGACUCCGCGACCGACUGGGUGUCUGUUAGACGAGGCGUUCGUUAGCAAGUGACUCUCGGUUCUCUUCGGUGACUGGGUUGUUUCUAGCGCGGCGUCUUUUCCACCACUACGGCCCGGUCUUGUCCUGUCUCCUUCGCGUUGGCGUCGGUGCGAAAUUUGUUUUUCGAGCCGUCUUUCUCUCUCGGAGGCCCACAGCGCAGAGUAGAAGUCGGGUCUCACCCGCCCCGUCUUUAAACACGGACCAAGGAGUCUAACAUGUGCGCGAGUCGUCGAGUCUAUGACGAAACUCGCGAGGCGUAAUGAAAGUGAAGCGGCCCCGAUGAGGGUGCAUCCGCGAGGGGUGAUCCCGUCUCGAACAGAGCGGGCGCAACCCCUGGGCGUCCAUACGGUCGCGCUGGCUCGGAAAAUUUCCCUUCCCCGGGGGGAUCGGAAGAGUCGAGUCGUCCGGACGAACCAAGAGCGUACACGUUGGGACCCGAAAGAUGGUGACCUAUGCUUGACCAGGACGAAGCCAGGGGAAACCCUGGUGGAGGUCCGCAGCGAUUCUGACGUGCAAAUCGAUCGUCGGAGUUGGGUAUAGGGGCGAAAGACUAAUCGAACCAUCUAGUAGCUGGUUCCCCCCGAAGUUUCCCUCAGGAUAGCUGGUGCUCGCAAAGAGAACAAACGGAGUUUCAUCCGGUAAAGCGAAUGAUUAGAGGCCUUGGGGUCGAAACGACCUCAACCUAUUCUCAAACUUUCAAUGGGUGAGAAGCCCGGCCUGUAUUUUUACUUGAUUGAGGCCGCGGCAAUAUUUUACGAAGAAUCUGAGCGCCCAGUGGGCCAUUUUUGGUAAGCAGAACUGGCGCUGUGGGAUGAACCAAACGCCCGGUUAAGGCGCCUAAACGACGCACAUUUCGGAUCCCACGAAAAGGAGUUGGUUGCUAUAGACAGCAGGACGGUGGCCAUGGAGGUCGGAACCCGCUCAGGAGUGUGUAACAACUCACCUGCCGAAGCAACUAGCCCUUAAAAUGGGAGGCGCUAUAGCGUCGUGCCUAUACCGGGCCGUCGGUCGGCAGAGCGAAUAACGUCCGUGUCAGCUCGAAGAGAGCGACGGCGCUGAGGCCCCGACGAGUAGGGGGGUCGCGACGGUGAGCUUUGAAGGGUUGUGGGCGCGAGCCUGCCCGGAGCCGCCGUCGGUGCAGAUCUUGGUGGUAGUAGCAAAUACUCCAGAGGGAUCCUGGAGGACUGACGCGGAGAAGGGUUUCAUGUGAACAGUUGUUGGACAUGAGUCAGCCGGUCCUAAGCCGCAGGCGAAAGUCGACCUAGUGACGGGCGUGAAUUUUUAUUUUGUUUCUUCGUUUCUCGGGUGUCUUGCUUCGCGGCUCGACGGCGGUUGGUGUUCCUGCCGCCGUUGAGUCGCGAUGGAGGGUUCCCUUGAACGGAGAUGCGAUGUAUGAUAUCACUCUGAAACGCCACACUGGUUAAAGGCGAAAGGGAAUCCGGUCCUGAUUCCGGAGCCGGGUUGCGGCUACGUCCCAGAAUAUAAAAAACGAUUAACCCUCGUUCGAAUUUCUCGGUCGCGGUAACGCGACACAAACCGGAGAAGCUGCCGAGAACCCCGGGAAGAGUUUUCUUUUCUGCUUGAGGGACCGAGACCCUGGAAUCCCGUCGCGGGGCGAGAGGGUUACGGAUUUAGCUGUCAAAGGCUAUCCCGAAGAGCGUCGCGUUUCUGCGACGUCCGUGGUCGUUCUCGGCUGGCCCUUGAAAAUCCGGCGGGAGGGUUACGUUUUUUGGACGUUCGCGCUCGUCCGUACCGAUAUCCGCAUCAGGUCUCCAAGGUGAACAGCCUCUAGUCGAUGGAUGAAUGUGGGUAAGGGAAAUCGGCAAAUUGGAUCCGUAACUUCGGGAUAAGGAUUGGCUCUGAGGGUCGAGGCGGUCGGGCUGAGUUGAAGCGAAGUCGUC
rnacentral:rRNA from 1 species